CAGCGCCGCGGGAAUACGUAGGUCCCGAGCGUUGUCCGGAUUUAUUGGGCGUAAAGCGAGCGCAGGCGGCUAGAUAAGUCUGAAGUUAAAGGCUGUGGCUUAACCAUAGUACGCUUUGGAAACUGUUUAACUUGAGUGCAAGAGGGGAGAGUGGAAUUCCAUGUGUAGCGGUGAAAUGCGUAGAUAUAUGGAGGAACACCGGUGGCGAAAGCGGCUCUCUGGCUUGUAACUGACGCUGAGGCUCGAAAGCGUGGGGAGCAAACAGGAUUAGAGACCCCUGUAGUCCCUGUCUCUUAUACAC
rnacentral:rRNA from 1 species